rnacentral:tRNA from 2 species
GCGGGAGUAAUUCAGUGGUAGAAUGACAGCUUCCCAAGCUGUAUGUCGCGAGUUCGACUCUCGUCUCCCGCUCCA